CGCUUUGUGCAGAGGCUGUAUCAUGGCCAACGAGGUUGAUCUGAGGCGCGAUUACUGCUCAUUGAAAACUUUUCCAUUAUGACGUACAACAAGUACAAUGACAAACAUUUUCUUUAGUAUAAAAAUCAAUAGAGUAAUUGUGUUCUUCUAAUUAGA
ensembl:snRNA U4 U4 spliceosomal RNA